GACGAAGGGGGCUAGCGUUGUUCGGAAUUACUGGGCGUAAAGGGCGCGUAGGCGGUUCUUUAAGUCAGGCGUGAAAGCCCUGGGCUCAACCUGGGAGUGGCGCUUGAUACUGAGGAACUAGAGAGUGGGAGAGGUUGGUGGAAUUCCCAGUGUAGAGGUGAAAUUCGUAGAUAUUGGGAAGAACACUGGUGGCGAAGGCGGCCAACUGGACCAUUUCUGACGCUGAGGCGCGAAAGCGUGGGGAGCAAACAGG
rnacentral:rRNA from 1 species